CGGCGAGCGCCGGAUCGAUGCUCACCGCUGCCGGCUGGAGCUCCUCGGAGCGCGC
rnacentral:misc_RNA from 1 species